rnacentral:rRNA from 1 species
AUUGAACGCUGGCGGCAUGCCUUACACAUGCAAGUCGAACGGCAGCACGGGGCAACCUGGUGGCGAGUGGCGAACGGGUGAGUAAUGCAUCGGAACGUACCUUUCAGUGGGGGAUAACGUAGCGAAAGUUACGCUAAUACCGCAUAUUCUGUGAGCAGGAAAGCAGGGGAUCGCAAGACCUUGCGCUGAUUGAGCGGCCGAUGUCAGAUUAGCUAGUUGGUGAGGUAAAGGCUCACCAAGGCGACGAUCUGUAGCGGGUCUGAGAGGAUGAUCCGCCACACUGGAGCUGGGACACGGUCCAGACUCCUACGGGAGGCAGCAGUGGGGAAGUUUGGACAAUGGGGGCAACCCUGAUCCAGCCAUGCCGCGUGAGUGAAGAAGGCCUUCGGGUUGUAAAGCUCUUUCGGCCGGGAAGAAAUCGCACGGGCUAAUACCCUGUGUGGAUGACGGUACCGGAAUAAGAAGCACCGGCUAACUACGUGCCAGCAGCCGCCGCAGUAA